rnacentral:tRNA from 1 species
CUGAUAGGGCUGCUAAGCAGGUUACUGUGAUAUAGUAAUAGUAAAGUUUUCUUUCGUCGGU